AAGUCGUAACAAGGUUUCCGUAGGUGAACCUGCGGAAGGAUCAUUAACAUUUUCCACAACCUAAAUGACAUUCGUUCACUAAUUACUGUGACGAGUGUUAUACCCCACUUUUAAGUGAACUUUGUUUUAUCUUUCGAAGUUGGGAAUGGGCUGAGAACUUUUGGUUCUCUUUCCUUUUUCAAUUUCCUUUUUUUUUUUCUUUUAAAACCCAAAUGAAACCCAAUUUUGACUGAAACUUUUUCACAUUGGGUAAUUCCAGUGUUGAAAUAAAACGUUAAAUGAGAAAAACAACUUUUAACAACGGAUAUCUUGGCUCUC
rnacentral:misc_RNA from 1 species